CCUACGGGGCGCAGCAGUGAGGAAUAUUGGUCAAUGGACGGAAGUCUGAACCAGCCAUGCCGCGUGCAGGAUGACGGCUCUAUGAGUUGUAAACUGCUUUUGUACGAGAAUAAUAGUUCUUACGUGUAGGGAUUUGAAUGUAUCGUACGAAUAAGGAUCGGCUAACUCCGUGCCAGCAGCCGCGGUAAUACGGAGGAUUCGAGCGUUAUCCGGAUUUAUUGGGUUUAAAGGGUGCGUAGGCGGGCAUUUAAGCCGGCGGUCACAUGUCGGGGCUCAACCCCGGCCUGCCGUCGGAACUGGGUGCCUUGAGUGGGCGAGAAGUAUGCGGAAUGUGUGGUGUAGCGGUGAAAUGCAUAGAUAUCACGCAGAACCCCGAUUGCGAAGGCAGCAUACCGGCGCCCUACUGACGCUGAGGCACGAAAGUGCGGGUAUCGAACAGGAUUAGAUACCCUUGUAGUC
rnacentral:rRNA from 1 species